CCUACGGGAGGCAGCAGUGGGGAAUCUUGCACAAUGGGGGCAACCCUGAUGCAGCGACGCCGCGUGAGCGAUGAAGCCCUUCGGGUGUAAAGCUCUUUCGGCAGGGACGAUGAUGACGGUACCCGCAGAAUAAGCCCCGGCUAACUUCGUGCCAGCAGCCGCGGU
rnacentral:rRNA from 1 species